GACAGAGCUACCAGAUGACCACUUCCAACACUGAAACUGUCCCGGUAGCUGCAUCUUAAAGCAAAGGUCUGAUGAAGAAAGAAAUGCAGCUUUGAAACACGUAAGCAGUAAAGGGAUCUGCUUACAUCUGUCUGUGAUUGCGAGGGACAACAUACCACCAAUAAUAUGGCUCCCGACCGGCAGCAUUCUGUUAUAUGGAUUCUUCUGUGCAGUUUGUUGGUAUCUAGAACGUACACUCCCAAAUUACAGGUAUCUGAUUUGCAGAGGAUCUUCAGACACUUCCUUAACACACAAGGAAAUCGGAGGAUACAGUCAAAACAAUACACAAUAUAUAAAUCA